CCAGUGGUGAUUCAGAGGUAGAAUUCUUUCCUUCCAUGCAGGAGACCCUGGUUCUAUUCCUGGCCAAUGCA
rnacentral:tRNA from 1 species